rnacentral:rRNA from 1 species
GACGGAGGGUGCUAGCGUUGUUCGGAAUUACUGGGCGUAAAGGGCGCGUAGGUGGCUUGUUAAGUCGGGUGUGAAAGCCCGGGGCUCAACCCCGGAACGGCACCCGAGACUGGCAGGCUGGAGACCGGGAGAGGAGAGUGGAAUACCCAGUGUAGAGGUGAAAUUCGUAGAUAUUGGGUGGAACACCAGUGGCGAAAGCGGCUCUCUGGCCCGGUUCUGACACUGAGGCGCGAAAGCGUGGGGAGCAAACAGG